AACGAACGCUGGCGGCAGGCUUAACACAUGCAAGUCGAACGGGUGUAGCAAUACAUCAGUGGCAGACGGGUGAGUAACACGUGGGAACCUUCCUAGGGGUACGGAACAACUCAGGGAAACUUGAGCUAAUACCGUAUACGUCCGUGAGGAGAUAGAUUUAUCGCCCUUAGACGGGCCCGCGUCGGAUUAGCUAGUUGGUGGGGUGACGGCCUACCAAGGCGACGAUCCGUAGCUGAUCUUAGAGGAUGAUCAGCCACACUGGGACUGAGACACGGCCCAGACUCCUACGGGAGGAAGCAGUGGGGAAUCUUGGACAAUGGGCGCAAGCCUGAUCCAGCCAUGCCGCGUGAGUGAAGAAGGUCUUCGGAUUGUAAAGCUCUUUUGCCAGGGACGAUAAUGACGGUACCUGGAGAAUAAGCCCCGGCAAACUUCGUGCCAGCCGCCGCGGUAAUAC
rnacentral:rRNA from 1 species